AAGCUCGUAGUUGAAUUUCGGGAUUGACAUAAUGGUCAUGCCUUAAGGGGUAUGAACUGUUACUGUUGAUUUCUCACCUUCUGGAGAAACUUGAUGUCCUUUAUUGGGUGUCUUGCGGAUCCAGGACCUUUACCUUGAAAAAAUUAGAGUGUUUAAAGCAGGCAUUUUUGCUCGAAUACAUUAGCAUGGAAUAAUAGAAUAGGACGGCAUGGUUCUAUUUUGUUGGUUUCUAGGAUCACCGUAAUGAUUAAUAGGGAUAGUUGGG
rnacentral:rRNA from 1 species